rnacentral:rRNA from 1 species
CUACGGGUGGCACCAGUGAGGAAUAUUGCACAAUGGGGGAAACCCUGAUGCAGCAACGCCGCGUGGAGGAUGACGCAUUUCGGUGUGUAAACUCCUUUUAUAUGUCAAGAAAAUGACGGUAGCAUAUGAAUAAGCACCGGCUAACUCCGUGCCAGCAGCCGCGGUAAUACGGAGGGUGCAAGCGUUAUUCGGAAUCACUGGGCGUAAAGGACGCGUAGGCGGGUUUGUAAGUCAGGUGUGAAAUCCUACAGCUUAACUGUAGAACUGCACUUGAACCUACUAACCUAGAGUAUGGGAGGGGGAGAUGGAAUUAGUGGUGUAGGGGUAAAAUCCGUAGAUAUCACUAGGAAUACCUAAAGCGAAGGCGAUCUCCUGGAACAUUACUGACGCUAAGGCGUGAAAGCGUGGGGAGCAAACAGGAUUAGAUACCCCCGUAGUC